rnacentral:rRNA from 1 species
GUGAGGAAUUUUCCGCAAUGGGCGAAAGCCUGACGGAGCAAAGCCGCGUGAAGGAUGAAGGCCUAUGGGUUGUAAACUUCUUUUCUCAGAAAAGAAUUAUGACGGUAUCUGAGGAAUAAGCAUCGGCUAACUCUGUGCCAGCAGCCGCGGUAAGACAGAGGAUGCAAGCGUUAUCCGGAAUGAUUGGGCGUAAAGCGUCUGUAGGUUGUUUAAAAAGUAUUCUGUCAAAGAUUAGGGCUUAACCCUAGAUAGGCAGAAUAAACUUUUAAGCUAGAGUUUGGUAGAGGCAGAGGGAAUUCCCGGUGGAGCGGUGAAAUGCGUAGAUAUCGGGAGGAACACCAAAGGCGAAGGCACUCUGCUGGGCCAAUACUAACACUGAGAGACGAAAGCGAGGGGAGCAAAUGGGAUUAGAUACCCGAGUAGUCC